UAUCAAGAUCGAACUGAAGAGUUUGAUCCUGGCUCAGAUUGAACGCUGGCGGCAUGCCUUACACAUGCAAGUCGAACGGUAACGCGGGGCAACCUGGCGACGAGUGGCGAACG
rnacentral:rRNA from 1 species